AGAUCUCAGUAGUCCUAUGAAUAUGUACAUAUGUAUGUAUAUUAUUUUGAAAAAGGAAAAGAAGACUUAACCUUUUUUUUUUUUUUUUUUCCUGUAGAUGAAGGGAGGAAGGGGUGAAUGUGAUGUUCUGUCUAUGGUAUAAUUUUGUCUACUGAUUGUGAGAACUGAGAAGUCUACCUAUAACCUCAUAUUUUGCAUUUUUCAUCUUUCCAUUCUUUUUCUCAAUUAAAUUCUUCAGAGAAGCCUUCUCAACCCUGUCGAGCAGCUGAGAUUCUGGAGGCAAAACGAAGAGAGAACAGACAAUGACUGGAUAUAAUAGAGAGUUUAGAACUCCUGAAGCAAAGACAGGACUUGAACAGAACACUCCCAUCCCGUGUAUGACUGCGUUAAUGAAAGCAGGAGAACCAUUUCAUGAAUGAGUGACUGCCAGUACUUUGUGCAAGACUGCCCUUGCUUAUCAGGCAUGCAUCAGCUAAUUCCUUACAACUGGAUGCAUUUGCACGUGCUCAGACACUGAAGUUAGGCUGCCCAAACAAAUCUCAGGCUGGCAGUGGGCUUGCUUCCUUGCAAUGAUGGUCUGCCGUUGAUCUGAAACCUGAAAACUCACUUUUAAAGCCUGUCCUCAGUGAAGACAUGAAGUCGGUUACCAACUUAGUGGUAUUGCCUCUUCUUUCCUAUUUACCUUUCUUUUAUAGACAUAUGUGUGCAUGUGUAUACAUAUCCAUACGUGUAUACAUUUAUAUUUCAAAAACAAAAACAAAGCAAACAAACAAAAAAACAUUUGUGCCCUGCUGCAGACUGUCUUGGAGGGAGGCUUCAUUUCCAUUUUUAGGACAUUAGCAUUAAGAAUUAAGAAAAGGAAGCUGGUUAUGUGUUAACCACACUCAAAAGAAUAUGGUUCACUUUCUGUCUGGCAAAAAAUAAUUUGGAGAUUUGUCUGAAUAAAGCUUAGGAUAUGUGUUGAAUAUCCUUCAGUGUUGGCUUGGGAUUUACCCUUGUGGGGUUUGCUGCACCCAGCAGUCCAGCAGAGGCAAGGCUGCCACAGUUCCAUGUCCCAGGUCCAGCCAGUAGCGAGGCUGAGCAUGUAUUCCCAGACACACACACUCCUACAGCACCUAUAUAUAUGUACUCAUGUUCAGCCACACCAGUUAACAGAGGCACACUCAGCAUUAGGGCUAAUGCAAACAGCACUGAUGGCCCCAUCUUUUUCCCCUCUCUGUCUGACCAGGAUAACUUUUGUGCGAUUCCCAAAUGCUCUUCCCCUAUAACGACCCCACACACCUGGAAGCAACCCCUCAGUCUGUGGUGAUCUCAGGACACCACAGAUCCCAGUCUCCUGCAGACUCAUGGUGGUGGCUGUCACCCCAGACCUGUGGGGCUAAUGCCCUGGGGUACCACGGUCCUAGGGGUCCUCAUGUCCCUCACCAGGUUAUUGGGGUGCCCCUGCCUGGCACCACACCCUUCUGCUCCUUCUUGCCUGAGGAGAGCAGCUUCUUAUCACACAUCCCAAAGUGUAGCAGUUCAAGUGCUAAUUCACUGCCUACAGGAAUAACAAUGCCAACAAGGUUCCUGAGUAGUUUUCAGUUAAAAAUUAUAUUCUGUCUCUUCAUAAUUUCCCAUUUUAUUAUUUUGAUUUAACUUUUUUUCACGACUUAAGCAAAUGUGCUGAGGUGUAGUGUGCUAUUAACUAAUUGCUAUGCUUCCUUCAAGAGGUGGCUGCAUGUCUGUGGAAGUGUAAUAAUUUGCAUAUGCUUAUAAAAUGUUUUGGAACUGUAAAAGUGCUGUGUAACUCUCCUCUACUCUGUUUCUUCAUCAGAUUUUUCAAAGCUGACUAUUAAACUUCAGAAAAAAUGAAAUAUUAUCUUGUGUUCAAAUUCAGUAAGGAAGAUGAGGGAUUUUGUGUCCACAGGCAGGUCAAGUGCUUGUCAGCUUUAAGAACAGCACUAUGGAAAUAAAACAAGAUUGAUGUCAUUAACACUGAAGGAAAUGUUCUUCAUUCUGUGAUUCGUUGCCUUCAGUUUUUUGGUUUUUGUGUUGUUGUUUGUUUGUUUGUUUUGUUUGUUUGUUGCUUUUUUGACACUCAUUGCUGCAAUAUGAAAACCUCUCUUAAAUGACUCCGGGAUCUUUUUUUUUUUUUUUUUUUUCCUAGAUUGUGUUCUGAUAAGCAUAUAGUUGCACUCAAAGCCCAAAAGACUGUGAUUUUCAUUUGAAAUUUAAUUGUGUUAACUCCAUGAUCAGCGCAGUGUAAAUUAGGCACAGGUGUAGAGCAAAGAGAAGGUUUCUUUACCUAAAAUGAUUUCCUUUCUCUAUUGAACAUGUGCAUUUCAGGACUCCAGACUUUGAGAAGACCUUACUUUAUGACUGGAGAGUGUGUGUGCAUAUUUGUAAUUGAUACAGGCAAUGAUUUAUUGCCAUUUUUCUUUGAAAUGUCUUAGUAAAAUGGUCUUUUGCUGGAAAUGCCCAUCAUGUGCUGCUGAUUCUGCAGCUCUUUUACAGAAUCCUGGAACACAUGGUUUUGGUUUUAAUCAGGUUUGCUCUUUAAAAUUAAGGCAGCACAUAAAUAAUCUUACAGCAUUAAUUCAAAGUAGUUGUCAUACUUGUCAAAUGUCUGUAGUCUGCACAAUUAAAGGCCUGUGGGGGGAAGUCGGGGGGGAGCGCUGUUUAAAAGAGAAUUUACAAUGAAAGAGUCUUCUCUUAAACAAUCAACAGGACACUAAUGAGGUCAGGAUAAGCAGAAAAGACUGGAUAUUUUUACUUGGUUGUUAAUACAGGAAUGCUUGAGCUUUAUCACAAAGAAAAGAGGAAGCUUAGAUAUU